CUCAGGAUGAACGCUGGCGGCGUGCCUAAUACAUGCAAGUCGAGCGAUGAGGCUCCUUCGGGAGUACAUCAGCGGCGAACGGGUGAGUAACACGUGGGUGACUUGCCCCGAAGAUGGGGAUAACCUCUGGAAACGGGGGCUAAUACCCAAUGUGCUCGGUGAUUCGGUUCAUCGAGUAAAGCUCCGGCGCUUCGGGAGAGGCCUGCGGCCCAUCAGCUAGUUGGUAGGGUAACGGCCUACCAAGGCAGAGACGGGUAGGGGGCGUGAGAGCGCGGACCCCCACACUGGCACUGAGAUACGGGCCAGACUCCUACGGGAGGCAGCAGUAAGGGAUAUUGCGCAAUGGACGAAAGUCAGACGCAGCGACGCCGCGUGGGCGAUGAAGGCCUUCGGGCUGUAAAGCCCUUUUAUGGGGGAAGAGAAAAAGGACGGUACCCCAGGAAUAAGUCCCGGCUAACUACGUGCCAGCAGCCGCGGUAAAACGUAGGGGACAAGCGUUAUCCGGAUUCACUGGGCGUAAAGAGCGUUGAGGCGGUUCCGUAAGUUGGGCGUGAAAGCUCCGGGCUUAACUCGGAGAUGUCGUUCAAUACUGCGGGGCUUGAGGACAGCAGAGGAAGGUGGAAUUCCCGGUGUAGUGGUGAAAUGCGUAGAUAUCGGGAGGAACACCCGUGGCGAAGGCGGCCUUCUGGGCUGUUCCUGACGCUGAAGGCGAAAGCUAGGGGAGCGAACGGGAUUAGAUACCCCGGUAGUCCUAGCUGUAAACGAUGGAUGCUGGGUGUGGGGGGUGUAAAUUCCCUCUGUGCCGAAGCAAACGCGUUAAGCAUCCCGCCUGGGGACUACGGCCGCAAGGCUAAAACUCAAACGAAUUGACGGGGGCCCGCACAAGCAGCGGAGCGUGUGGUUUAAUUCGAUGCUACACGAA
rnacentral:rRNA from 1 species